rnacentral:rRNA from 1 species
UACGUAGGGUGCGAGCGUUAAUCGGAAUUACUGGGCGUAAAGCGUGCGCAGGCGGUUCGUUGUGUCGGCGGUGAAAUCCCCGGGCUCAACCUGGGAAUGGCCGUUGAAACUGGCGAACUGGAGUGUGGCAGAGGGGGGUGGAAUUCCGCGUGUAGCAGUGAAAUGCGUAGAGAUCGGGAGGAACACCAGUGGCGAAGGCGGCUACCUGGACCAGCACUGACACUGAGGCACGAAAGCGUGGGGAGCAAACAGG